CCCACACUUAUGUGUGUAGGAUCCCAAAAGAUCACCAUUAAAUUUGGCACAGAUCUCUAGAAAAAGCAUUAUAUGGGUGUGGGAGUUGAUUUUUUUAGAGAUCUGUGUCAAAUUUAAUAGUGAUCCUUUGGAGUCCUACACACAUGGGUGUGGG
rnacentral:pre_miRNA from 1 species